UUUGAUUCUAGUAUGGUUCGUUGGUGGUGUGUCACCUAUUUUCAUUUGUUUUUUUUUUCAGCUUUCCUCGCUCUGCCUCGGGAGGCGUCGUGGUGAUGCUUAAGUUAUUUUCCAGUUUGUUUUCUUUCGUUGUAUUUCCUCUUUUCUGAUCAAUAUUAUGAUUUGUUAUUGUGUUUGGGUCUCUUCACCAUGGAAGAAUGAAAAAACAUGGAUAUCAUAAAAAAAUCAAACUCCAGUCUAGAGAUCAUUCCCGAAUGUAUC
rnacentral:lncRNA from 1 species